ensembl:lncRNA
ACGAAAGAAAGAAGUUACUAAGAAAGAAAGAAAGAAAGAAAGAAAGAAAGAUCUCGGUAUAAUCCCUGACGAGAGAUCAAGUAAAAUACACCUGCUUCCUAUAAUAAUGAUGAUAUAAAAAGGCGUGUGGAAUUUAAGAUCAGAUCUCAUGGUAUGGACAGGUUUAGGGAUGAGGUUUCAGGUUUACGCUCGGGCGCUGUGAACGAGUCACUCUCACUGUGCACUCGGGUGUGGUGUGUAGAGCAGCAGGGGUAACACACAACGUGUGUGGUGUGUGCUCAUGGUUAAUGUGGCAUGACGCAGGAGAGAGAGAGAGCGAGAGAGAGCGAGAGCGAGCGAGAGAGUCGGGCUUGUUGGUUGAGGUGUAAUUGGGAGAGGAGAUACACACACGUGACUGUAAGACCAUGUGUACAUCUGAUCAGUUCAGGUUGUAAGGUUUUAAUUACAUGUGUAGUCAGAUAUAUCACCGCUGAACUGAACUCUGUUUUAUUUGCUGUACCGCAUGUAAUAUGCAGUUCAGCGCUGGUCCAGGUACUGUACUUAAAAAUGGUUUCCACAUCAAUAUAUUUUUUGCUUCAUUAAAGACACCAAUUUGAUGUCAAUUUGAGCAGAUACUGUACGCUGUGACAAUGC